rnacentral:rRNA from 1 species
UACGUAGGAGGCAAGCGUUGUCCGGAAUUACUGGGCGUAAAGCGCGUGUAGGUGGUGGUACAAGUCUGCUGUGAAAGCGCCUGGCUUAACCGGGCGAGGUCGGCGGAAACUGUCCGACUCGAGGACGGUAGAGGGGGGUGGAAUUCCCGGUGUAGUGGUGAAAUGCGUAGAGAUCGGGAGGAACACCUGUGGCGAAGGCGGCCACCUGGGCCGGCCCUGACACUGAGACGCGAAGGCGUGGGGAGCGAACGGG